UACGUAGGUGGCAAGCGAUACUCGGAAUCACUAGGCGUAAAGCGCAGGUAGGCGGUUUGGUAAGUCUUUUGUGAAAGCUCCCGGCUUAACUGGGAGAGGUCAAGGGAAACUACCGGACUAGAGUGUGGUAGGGGAUACUGGAAUUCCUGGUGUAGCGGUGAAAUGCGUAGGUAUCAGGAGGAACACCGGUGGCGAAGGCGGCCUUCUGGACGGAUACUGACGCUGAGACGCGAAAGCGUGGGGAGCAAACAGG
rnacentral:rRNA from 1 species